rnacentral:snRNA from 1 species
AUGCUAACUUUGGCAGCAUAUAUACUAAAAUUGGAGAGAUGCGAGAAGAUUAGCAUGGCCCCUGAGCAAGGACGACACGCAAGUUCAUAAAGUUCCAUAUUUUUUU